GAUGAACGCUGGCGGCGUGCCUAAUACAUGCAAGUCGAGCGAACAGACGAGGAGCUUGCUCCUCUGACGUUAGCGGCGGACGGGUGAGUAACACGUGGAUAACCUACCUAUAAGACUGGGAUAACUUCGGGAAACCGGAGCUAAUACCGGAUAAUAUAUUGAACCGCAUGGUUCAAUAGUUAAAGACGGUUUUGCUGUCACUUAUAGAUGGAUCCGCGCCGCAUUAGCUAGUUGGUAAGGUAACGGCUUACCAAGGCGACGAUGCGUAGCCGACCUGAGAGGGGGAUCGGCCAAACUGGAACUGAGACACGGUCCAGACUCCUACGGGAGGCAGCAGUAGGGAAUCUUCCGCAAUGGGCGAAAGCCUGACGGAGCAACGCCGCGUGAGUGAUGAAGGUCUUCGGAUCGUAAAACUCUGUUAUUAGGGAAGAACAAAUGUGUAAGUAACUAUGCACGUCUUGACGGUACCUAAUCAGAAAGCCACGGCUAACUACGUG
rnacentral:rRNA from 1 species